CUAUGUCGGAUUUGUCAGUUUUUGCAGGAUUUUCGAAGUGCUUGCAUGACAUUUGCAGGACGUAAGAUUUUGCAGGAUUUUCGAAUUUUUUGUCGGAUUUCUGGUAAUUUUUGGGGAUUUUUUGAAUAUCUGGUGAUAAUUGUAUUAAUCAAUUGAAAUUUGCAGUAGACAACAACUGAGACCACUGUGGCGCUGUUGUCUGGUGCUCUGAGCCUAAGCCGCUCUGAGCCUGACUCUGAGUUUCUGAUCUGUGGACGUCUAGUCCUCUCGUUACUCGUUUGACUGUUUGAAUUUGAGAGUUUUAUUGAAAAAAAGUUCUGACUUUGUUGAGGUUUGAACCAUCUACCACUGAAGUGCUGAUCCAGCUUGCUAACCAAUCAGCUACAGGGACUUUAUCAACAAUUACAAAUUGUAUGUAUUAGUUACAUCCCUGAGAGAUUUUUAAAAUUCUUAUUUUAAAAAGCCGAAGGCUUACCGCCUUUUAAGGGUGAGAGAUUUGAAGAAACAAAAGUUCCGACAGCGCUCCAAAUAGUGUUAACCCUGAGAGGUCCCUGGGGAAUUGGGCGGGGGGAGACGAAAACGGUUUUUCAUACUUUCACGCUCUCGUGAUCCUCCGAUCAUGAAGCGACCUAUCUCAUUCAACGUAGAAUGACUUUUUACAUCUAAUACGACUAAUUUUUACAAGUGUUAACGAAAUUAACGGGGUUAUAAUCGGGGAAAAGAACAAAAAAAAGGGAAAACUUCUAAAUGAUGAGAAAAAGUUCGCUUCUAAUAUUUGAGAAUCUAACCACCUCUAAUUUAAAGAAGAACUUUCCCUUUAACGAAAAAAACUAGAAUUGCGAUAUCUUAUUUGUUUUUCGCGAGAUAUCUGCAAAAGAAAAAGACACCCAGAUUGACUUUUAGUUGGAUUCCCCAGCAGACGACAUUUUCUAUAGCCUGUGUCUGCUUGUCGAACGUCAAGCUCAAUCAAAACAAUCAACGAGGCUAGAAUUUCAUUUGAUUAUCGGACGCUGUGUCUCAAUUCGCUUCCCAAUCUAAUAUUUCUCACCCAUUCGCAAGAUCCGGAGAUCCUAUUCCAGUUUAUCCUAUCUGUGCAUCAGUUUGUUUUCGGGGCUAUACCAGUAAUUCCACAAGUAUGUUUACACACAUCAAGACGCAGGGAAUGGUUACUUUACUAAAGAAGCUCAGUUUGUUUUCGGUACAACUACUCACUAUUGUUCUUGAUGCUUUGUAAAAUCUUAUUCAAAUUCCCAAAGAUUUGAAUUUAAAAAAAAUUACGUUGUGAAACAAUAAUAAAUAAUGAAAGAGA